rnacentral:tRNA from 1 species
GGCAGUGUUGUCUAGUGGAUAGAACACUUGUCUGCAAUUCAGGAGACCUCGGUUCCAUUCCUGGCUGUGCCA